CAGUCGAACGGGAAACCUUUUAUUGAAGCUUCGGCAGAUUUAGAUUGUUUCUAGUGGCGGACGGGUGAGUAACGCGUGGGUAACCUGUCUUAUACAGGGGGAUAACAGUCAGAAAUGACUGCUAAUACCGCAUAAGCGCACAGAGCUGCAUGGCUCAGUGUGAAAAACUCCGGUGGUAUAAGAUGGACCCGCGUUGGAUUAGCUGGUUGGUGAGGUAACGGCCCACCAAGGCGACGAUCCAUAGCCGGCCUGAGAGGGUGAACGGCCACAUUGGGACUGAGACACGGCCCAGACUCCUACGGGAGGCAGCAGUGGGGAAUAUUGCACAAUGGGGGAAACCCUGAUGCAGCGACGCCGCGUGAAGGAAGAAGUAUCUCGGUAUGUAAACUUCUAUCAGCAGGGAAGAAAAUGACGGUACCUGACUAAGAAGCCCCGGCUAACUACGUGCCAGCAGCCGCGGUAAUACGUAGGGGGCAAGCGUUAUCCGGAUUUACUGGGUGUAAAGGGAGCGUAGACGGAUGGACAAGUCUGAUGUGAAAGGCUGGGGCUCAACCCCGGGACUGCAUUGGAAACUGCCCGUCUUGAGUGCCGGAGAGGUAAGCGGAAUUCCUAGUGUAGCGGUGAAAUGCGUAGAUAUUAGGAGGAACACCAGUGGCGAAGGCGGCUUACUGGACAGUAACUGACGUUGAGGCUCGAAAGCGUGGGGAGCAAACAGGA
rnacentral:rRNA from 1 species